GCUCUAGUGUAGCCAUUUCUUCUGUGUACAGGUCAGAAGAAAGUAUAGACAACACUAUAGAAGUUGGACAAGGAAGUUUGAAGCUAAUUUAUUCAGCUCGUGAUGGAAAGCUUUCACACUAUGCUAACAACAGAAAUUUGAUUACAGCAUCUACAGAACAGUCAUACAGUUAUUACAGUGGAAAUGAUGGAACUGAUAAAGAUCCAUAGGCUUCUGGAGCAUAUGUCUUUCGUCCAAAUGGCACAUUUCCAAUCAAAUUCGAUAGCCAGGCUUCUCUAACUAUGGUUCGAGGUCCGGUACUGGAUGAAGAACACCAACGGCUCAAUCCAUGGAUAUCUUAGAUUGAUGUAGGCAUUGGAUCUUCAUCAUUUACAAAAUCACAGGGCCCGAAAUGACUCAUUGAUAGUGGAUGUUUGCCAGGGUCAAUAUAAGUCGACACUGGUUUGCCCAGCAUGUGGAAAGAUUUCAGUCACUUUUGAUCCCUUCAUGUAUUUGUCGUUGCCGCUACCUUCAACUGCAACUCGGCAAAUAACCGUGACUGUGUUUUACGGCGAUGGAAGUGGUCUUCCUAUGCUAUACACUGUUAGUUUGCUAAAGCAAGGUUGCUGUAAAGAUCUUAGUGAACAACUAAGUACUGCUUGUUGCUUGAAUGUUGAUGAGAUUCUUCUGCUUGCAGAGGUUUAUGAACAUAAGAUUUUUCGAUAUUUGGAAAACCACUCAGAGCUAUUGGCUCCAAUUAAGGAGGAUGACCACUUAUAGACUUUCUAAAAAUGUUGUGGGAAGAUCCAGAGUUGAAAUAAUUCAUCGACCACAUGAAAAGUGCCCGUCAGACAGUGUUAAGGGUUGUCAGGGAAAGCUUAUCGGUACCCCUUUUGUUACUUAUUUAAAAGAGCCAAUAUGUGGAGCCAAUGUUGAAGCCGGUGUUACUAGAUUGUUGUCACCUUUGAAGAGAACGCGUCCUUCAGUUAAGCUCCAGAAUGGUAAGGAAAAUGGAUUUGAAAAAGAGGUUAUUGAAGAACCAUCAAACAGCUACAAUUCUAAGAACCUGUCAAUGGAUGAUGCAGAAGUAGAGGAAAAAUCCAGCGAAGCGUUAUUUCUGUGUUGAAAGUAGUAAAUUUUAGACUCCUUGAAUACUUAAAGAAUAUUUUGUUGUUGAUGACAAUGUUGCAUGUUUUAAAUUAAAUUGUGGAUUGUUAAUUCAAUGUAGAAUGUUUUUAUUUUUUGUUAUUUGAAAAUCAAGUU